UGAAUUUAUCAGACGAAAAAUCCUGUUUACAUAACGACACAAUCCACUAUAAAUUAUUUUAAAAAGCUGUGUACAUUAACGCAGAUUUAAUAGGGGAGAUAUAACGAAGUUCAUCAUUUCAAAUGAACCAAUCAACAAUUGUUAGAGCAACAUGUAUGCUACUUCUACUCUUUUCAUACGUACUUGAUGUGGGAGGACAAGAACCCACACUGUCAGAGUCAGAUUGUAUAAGUUGUUGUGAAGUUGAUAGACCAAGGGACAGAAAAUGCUAUCUUUGUCCUGGUUGGCCAGAAAAUUGUAAAAAUAUGUCAAUUUGUUUCGCUUGUUGUGCACUUAAUGGACCAAGGGACGGAAAAUGCUUUCGUUGUCGUGGUUGGCCAGAGAUAUGUGGACCACGCGGCCAGAUCUCAAGAAAAUGAAUUGCAGGAUCCUGAUACAUGUCAGACAUUAAAGUUUAGGGAAUAAAAUUAUUUGACAACAAACCUC